rnacentral:rRNA from 1 species
GAGACUGUUUCAGUCUUUUUUAAUUCAACACUUAGCUUCUUUGGAGACGCUGUUCUCGCUGUGAUGUAUUUAUGGAGUUAUUCGUUUUACUUUACCAAGGGAAAUGGUAACGUACCUUAGGCAAAGGGUUGCUUUUAAUAUUCAUCAAGUUUGACCUCAAAUCAGGUAGGAUUACCCGCUGAACUUAAGCAUAUCAUAAGCGGAGGAAAAGAAACCAACUGGGAUUACCUUAGUAACGGCGAGUGAAGCGGUAAAAGCUCAAAUUUGAAAUCUGGUACUUUCAGUGCCCGAGUUGUAAUUUGUAGAAUUUGUCUUUGAUUAGGUCCUUGUCUAUGUUCCUUGGAACAGGACGUCAUAGAGGGUGAGAAUCCCGUUUGGCGAGGAUACCUUUUCUCUGUAAGACUUUUUCGAAGAGUCGAGUUGUUUGGGAAUGCAGCUCAAAGUGGGUGGUAAAUUCCAUCUAAAGCUAAAUAUUGGCGAGAGACCGAUAGCGAACAAGUACAGUGAUGGAAAGAUGAAAAGAACUUUGAAAAGAGAGUGAAAAAGUACGUGAAAUUGUUGAAAGGGAAGGGCAUUUGAUCAGACAUGGUGUUUUUUGCAUGCACUCGCCUCUCGUGGGCUUGGGCCUCUCAAAAAUUUCACUGGGCCAACAUCAAUUCUGGCAGCAGGAUAAAUCAUUAAGAAUGUAGCUACUUCGGUAGUGUUAUAGCUUUUUGGAAUACUGUUAGCCGGGAUUGAGGACUGCGCUUCGGCAAGGAUGUUGGCAUAAUGGUUAA